UAAAGUGGAGAAUUAUUGAAAGGCUAUGAUUGUUUUCCACCGGUAAAGUUGGCUCGGAAGGACAAAGACAAACCCACCAGAUAUAGUAGAGCCAUUCUCAUUCCCCGGGUAUUGGAUUUUGCUUUUCCUGCUUUCCUUUAAUCUCAUCUAAAACCCACGAUCGAUUGAUUGCUUUGAUAAUAUCGAUUCAAAGGUUUCAUUGGGAGACUGUUUAGUGAAUAGCUUUGGUCUUCAAAUUCACCGUGUUCAUCAACACAGAGAAAAGCCUUGUGUUGUCUUCUUCCGGUAUUACACAGACACAAAGAGAGAGGGGUGAGAAAUGGCUCUCGAUUGUGUUCUUUCCAUCGGAGGGAAGACAGCAGAAUAUCUGAUUGACCCAAUCGGUCGUCAGUUUGGUUAUCUGAUUUACUACAACAGUAACCUUGAAAGACUUAAAAAUCAAGUCAAUAUGCUGGAAGGGAAAAGAGGCGCGGUUCAACUAUUGGUUGAUGAAGCAAAAAGAAAUAGGGAAGUCAUUGGACCCGAUGUUAAUGAGUGGCUGGCAAGAGUAGAUGUACCCUGCAGAGAAGCCAACAAUAUUCUCAUAGAAGGUCAAGCAAACAAAGGGUGUUUGAAUGGGUGGUGUCAAAACCCGAAGUCAUGCCACUCAAUCAGUCGGAAAGCAAAAAAGAUGGCAGAAGAAGUGGCUAAGCUGCACGGCGAUGGAAACUUUACCCAAGUGUCGUACCCUGCACCUCCACCCGGGAUAGAAUCUAGACCCAUUGACGGUAUUAAUGGUUUCGAAUCAAGGAUUUCGAUCCUGAAGGAAGUAAUCGAGGCGCUUACGGAAGAUGGCGCCAGUAAUAUGAUUGGGAUAUGUGGCUUGGGAGGUGUUGGUAAGACAACACUGGCAAAACAAGUUGCCAAGAAAGCAAAGGAAGAGAAAUUGUUCGAUGACGUUGUGAUGGCGACAAUUUCGCAAAAGCUUGAGGCGAGGAAGAUUCAAGGUGAAAUCGCAGAUUUGUUGGGUUUCAAAUUUGAGCAAGAGAGUGACUCUGGAAGGGCGGAUGUGUUGCGUGACCAACUCAAACAAAAAGAGAGAAUUCUUGUCAUAUUGGAUGAUGUUUGGAAGAGAUUUGAACUGAAUGAUAUUGGAAUUCCAUUCGGAGAUGACCAUAAAGGUUGCAAAAUUUUGGUGAUUUCCCGAAGUGAAGAGGCCUGCAACGAUAUGGGAGCUCAAAAAAAAUUUCCAGUUCAAAUCUUGCAAAAAGAAGAAGCAUGGAAUCUUUUCAAAGAGAUGGCGGGAAUUCCAGAAGACGACACUAAUUUCCGAUCCACGAAGAUGGCAGUUGCAAAUGAAUGUGGAGGCUUACCGAUUGCUCUUGUUACAGUUGCAAGGGCACUCAAAGGCAAGAGCAAAUCAUCAUGGGAUUCUGCUCUUGAAACAUUACGCAAGUCAAUCGGAAAAAAUGUUAGAGAGGUAGAGGAUAAGGUGUUUAAAUCUCUUGAGUUGAGUUUCAAUUUCUUGAAAAGUAAAGAAGCCCAGAGAUGUUUUUUGCUUUGUUCAUUGUAUUCGGAAGAUUAUGAUAUUCCAAUCGAAGACCUUGUGAGAUAUGGGUAUGGACGAGAGUUGUUUGAGCGCAUUAAAAGCGUGAGUGAAGCAAGGGCUAGAGUACAUGACAAUGUUGAUCACUUGAAGAAAUGCUUUUUAUUGAUGGAUGGCAAAAGUAGAGUACACGUUAAAAUGCAUGACGUGGUACGUGAUGUCGCUAUAUCGAUCGCAUGCAGAGAGGAACAUUCGUUUAUGAUUAGGUGUGAUGACACACUGAUAGAAUGGCCAGAGAAAGAACGACGCGGGAACUAUGGUGUAAUUUCGAUGAGAUGCACUGGUCUGGAGUGGGGGCUACCCGAUAAUUUAGAGUUUCCAAAGCUCCAACUUUUGCGGCUGGAGUCUGACGAUAGUAGAUUUCUCAUAGAAUCCCCUGGGAGUUUGGACCAAGGGAUGAAAGAACUCAAAGUGGUAGCUCUUUCAAGGAUGGUGAUCCCUUCACUGCCGCCAUCACUCCGAUGCUUAGCCAACCUUCAAACCAUGUCACUGUCUGAUUGCGAUUUGUUGCAUACAGAUUUGUCAGUAAUUGAAGGGCUAAUGAAUCUGGAAAUUUUGAGCUUUACUAGAUCUAAAAUCGAAGAGUUGCCAAGAGAAAUAGGUAACCUUACUCGUUUGAAGCUACUAGACUUGUUGCAGUGCGCAAAGACAAGGAUUCCUCAUGGCGUUUUGACAAGUUUAUCGAAGCUAGAAGAGUUGUAUCUUGGGAAGACCUUUACAGGGUGGGAUGUUGUUGAAGAGGGAAAAGAUGUGCUAUUAACUAAUGCGUGCAUAGCUGAGUUAGCAUCCUUGCCGAAUUUGGUGGCUUUGGAUAUUAAUGUACCAAAAAUUGAGUGUUGGGUCUGGCCGAGAGAUGUGGUGUUCCUUGGGAAAAUAAGGGCAUUCGAUAUAUCUUUGGGGUCAUCAGGUUAUAAAGUUAAGUGUCAAUGUUUUCUUCCGUCAACUAACCAAUUGGUACUACGAGCUCUUGACAUCAAUCGUGGUGCUAUGGAGAUACGUGGGCUUAAGAUGCUUUUGAAGGUCACUACAAAACUGCACUUAUUUUCAAUGAUUAGGGCGGGGCACGGUAUCAGCGAUUUGGAUGAAGAUGGUUUUAAACACUUGUCAGAGCUGAGAGUGGUUAAUUGUUUAGAUUUGGAGUGCCUCGUCAACACAAGCGACGACCAGCUAGAAAAGGUGGCCUUCUGUGCGCUGGAAACUCUGUACCUAUACGACUUGCCUCAACUGAAGCAUUUGUGGAAGGGUUCCACUCAACUUGGAUGCCUCCGCAAUCUGACGCAUGUAUGGGUGGGUCAAUGUCCAAAAUUGGGAUAUUAUGUGUUCUCACUUGCCAUAGCUAGAAAUCUAGUGCAAUUGCAUAGGCUUGUGGUAUGGAGUUGUAGCGAAUUGGAAGUGAUUGUUUCUAAUUCUAAUGGAGGAGGAGAGCAAGAGAUGGAAGCAGCAGGAGAAGAUGAUGAUAUUGUGUUUCCGAAACUGGAGUCAUUGCAUCUUGAAGAGCUGCCAAAUUUUACUGGUUUUUGCAAAGGCAUGAAUGCAAUUAGGAUGCCUCAAUUGAAACUGUUGGGACUUGAAUCCAUUUCAAUGCUCAAUUGUCUAUGCCCUGCCUCAAGGAGUAAUAAUGAUACCACCAUUCAGCCACUGUUCAACAACAAGGAUGCAUUAACUAGCAUAGAAGAAUUGUAUAUGACUUCAAUGGAAGACCUGAGAGAAAUAUGGCCUGGGGAUCUUCAAGCAAAACUAAGGGAGAUUAAAGUUUAUAGAUGUGACAAGUUGUCGAAUAUUCUUUUUCCAUCUAAUUUGAUCGAAUGCAUGGAAAAGCUAGAACAACUUACCGUAGAGUCCUGCAAGUCAGUGGAAGUAGCAUUUGACUUGGGCGAACUAAAUAUUGGUGGCGAAGGCAAUGGGAAUAUAGCCAUACCAUUCCCUUGCUUAGCUAUUUUAAAGCUUCAAAUGCUACCAAAGUUGAGGCAUGUUUGGGCGAAUUAUCCACCAAGAAUAUCUCACAGCUUUCAGAAUUUGAAAUCCCUAUUUGUGUCUUCUUGCCGUAGUUUGAGAAUUCUGGUCUCGCCUUUCGUUGCCAGGUUUCUUGUGAACCUAAAAGAACUACAUAUAAGUGAAUGUGAGGUGAUGGAAGCAAUUAUUGACCGGGAGGAAGAAGAAGUAGAUGAUGGAGUGAGAACAGAUACAAUCGUCUUUCCUCAACUAACUUCCCUCGGGCUUUGGCAACUUCAACUCCUGACGAGUUUCUGCCCCCAAGGUUGCACUUUCCAAGGAUUAUUUUUGAAAAAAGUGCAAAUUUGGGAUUGUCCGGCAUUGAAGUUUCUCCCUUCGGCAGUCCAACGCGUAAUUAACGAGCAACGGUAACUUUUUGAACCGAGCAUUGGAGAUCUCUUCCUCUGAGUAAGGGGGCUCAAUAAUGAAAUCCAAAGAAAGUAAGAAUUUGGAGUAACUGAGGACAGCACCGGUGAAGAGGACAUGGAAUUUGGAAUGAGUGCGCGUACUCCGUGCAAUCAGCGAUGAUCUGCUCCCUCUGGUUUCAACUGUAAUGCUUUUCGGCUAAUUGUUGUACCUUCUCUUAUAAUUAUGGAUUCUGGUACACUUUGUGGAUGUUGGAGUAAACUUCUUUAGAGUUUGGAAUUUGACUUGUUUUGUGGUAGUUGAUCGAUCGACAUGUUAAGUAUUCUAAACAGUAGGAGUUGGAAGAGUGAAAACUCAAAAUGUUAUAAGCACUUGCAGUUUGAUUGCUAAUGUUGCACUCUAAUUUUCCUCA